GUCCACGUUACCAUGGGAGCUGUGUUUUGAUGGCAGUCUCCCUUCCUAGGCGUGGUAGAGCAUCACCUUGUUCUUGUUCAGCGUCUGUUUGUGUUGUCACGAGGCAUGACUUGAAGAAGGGACAUGA